rnacentral:lncRNA from 1 species
UCUCUCAGUGGAGGAAGGCAGGAAUGUCAGGCCUCUGAGCCCAGGCCAGGCCAUCGCAUCCCCUGUGACUUGCACGUAUACAUCCAGAUGGCCUGAAGUAACUGAAGAUCCACAAAAGAAGUAAAAACAGCCUUAACUGAUGACAUUCCACCAUUGUGAUUUGUUCCUGCUCCACCCUAACUGAUCAAUGUACUUUGUAAUCUCCCCCACCCUUAAGAAGGUACUUUGUAGUCUCCCCCACCCUUAAGAAGGUACUUUGUAGUCUCCCCCACCCUUAAGAAGGUUCUUUGUAAUUCUCCCCACCCUUGAGAAUGUACUUUGUGAGAUCCACCCCUGCCCACCAGAGAA